rnacentral:rRNA from 1 species
GAGUUUGAUCCUGGCUCAGGACGAACGCUGGCGGCACGCCUAACACAUGCAAGUCGAACGGAGAUAUUUUGGUUUACUGAGAUAUCUUAGUGGCGGACGGGUGAGUAACACGUGAGCAACCUGCCUCUGAGAGAGGGAUAGCUUCUGGAAACGGAUGGUAAUACCUCAUAACAUAACGAAGCCGCGUGACUUUGUUAUCAAAGAUUUAUCACUCAGAGAUGGGCUCGCGUCUGAUUAGAUAGUUGGUGAGGUAACGGCCCACCAAGUCGACGAUCAGUAGCCGGACUGAGAGGUUGAACGGCCACAUUGGGACUGAGACACGGCCCAGACUCCUACGGGAGGCAGCAGUGGGGAAUAUUGCACAAUGGGGGAAACCCUGAUGCAGCGAUGCCGCGUGGAGGAAGAAGGUUUUCGGAUUGUAAACUCCUGUCUUAAAGGACGAUAAUGACGGUACUUUAGGAGGAAGCUCCGGCUAACUACGUGCCAGCAGCCGCGGUAAUACGUAGGGAGCGAGCGUUGUCCGGAAUUACUGGGUGUAAAGGGAGCGUAGGCGGGAUGGCAAGUCAGAUGUGAAAACUAUGGGCUCAACCCAUAGACUGCAUUUGAACUGUUGUUCUUGAGUGAAGUAGAGGUAAGCGGAAUUCCUGGUGUARCGGUGAAAUGCGUAGAUAUCAGGAAGGAACAUCAGWGGCSAAGGCGRSU